UACGUAGGGACCAAGCGUUGUUCGGAUUUACUGGGCGUAAAGGGCGCGUAGGCGGCGAGUUAAGUCACUUGUGAAAUCUCUAAGCUUAACUUAGAACGGUCAAGUGAUACUGAUGUGCUAGAGUGCAGAAGGGGCAACCGGAAUUCUUGGUGUAGCGGUGAAAUGCGUAGAUAUCGAGAGGAACACCUGAGGUGAAGGCGGGUUGCUGGGCUGACACUGACGCUGAGGCGCGAAAGCUAGGGUAGCAAACGGG
rnacentral:rRNA from 1 species